UACGGAAGGCAGCAGUAGGGAAUCUUCCGCAAUGGACGAAAGUCUGACGGAGCAACGCCGCGUGAACGAUGAAGGCUUUUCGGGUCGUAAAGUUCUGUUGUUAGGGAAGAACAAGUACCAGAGUAACUGCUGGUACCUUGACGGUACCUAACCAGAAAGCCACGGCUAACUACGUGCCAGCAGCCGCGGUAAUACGUAGGUGGCAAGCGUUGUCCGGAAUUAUUGGGCGUAAAGCGCACGCAGGUGGUUUUCUUAAAGUCUGAUGUGAAAGCCCACGGCUCAACCGUGGAGGGUCAUUGGAAACUGGGGAACUUGAGUGCAGAAGAGGAAAGUGGAAUUCCACGUGUAGCGGUGAAAUGCGUAGAGAUGUGGAGGAACACCAGUGGCGAAGGCGACUUUUCUGGUCUGUAACUGACACUGAGGCGCGAAAGCGUGGGGAGCGAACAGGGAUUAGAUACCCGU
rnacentral:rRNA from 1 species